CCUACGGGUGGCUGCAGUGGGGAAUAUUGGACAAUGGGGGGAACCCUGAUCCAGCCAUGCCGCGUGUGUGAAGAAGGCCCUCGGGUUGUAAAGCACUUUCAGUGAGGAAGAACGCCUGGUGGUUAAUACCCAUCAGGAAAGACAUCACUCACAGAAGAAGCACCGGCUAACUCCGUGCCAGCAGCCGCGGUAAUACGGAGGGUGCGAGCGUUAAUCGGAAUUACUGGGCGUAAAGCGCGCGUAGGUGGCUUGAUAAGCCGGUUGUGAAAGCCCCGGGCUCAACCUGGGAACGGCAUCCGGAACUGUCAAGCUAGAGUGCAGGAGAGGAAGGUAGAAUUCCCGGUGUAGCGGUGAAAUGUGUAGAGAUCGGGAGGAAUACCAGUGGCGAAGGCGGCCUUCUGGACUGACACUGACACUGAGGUGCGAAAGCGUGGGUAGCAAACAGGAUUAGAUACCCCGGUAGUC
rnacentral:rRNA from 1 species